CAACGCCGCGUGAGUGAAGAAGGGUUUCGGCUCGUAAAACUCUGUUGUUAAAGAAGAACAUAUCUGAGAGUAACUGUUCAGGUAUUGACGGUAUUUAACCAGAAAGCCACGGCUAACUACGUGCCAGCAGCCGCGGUAAUACGUAGGUGGCAAGCGUUGUCCGGAUUUAUUGGGCGUAAAGCGAGCGCAGGCGGUUUUUUAAGUCUGAUGUGAAAGCCUUCGGCUCAACCGAAGAAGUGCAUCGGAAACUGGGAA
rnacentral:rRNA from 1 species